rnacentral:lncRNA from 1 species
GAGAGAGAGAGAGAGUGAGAGAGGGGAGUCAGCCCCGUCACCCAGGCUGGAUGAGGUGUAGUGACGUGAGCAUAACUCACAGCAACCUCAAAAACUCCAGGGUUCAAGAGAUCCUCCUGCCUCAGCCUUCCAAGUAGCUGGGAUUACAGGUGUCUUUGUGAAGCUUCCUAUCUUUGCUUUUCAACUAAGAUGAAACAGCAUUUAAAAGAAAAUGCCAUGUGAGAUGAGAUCAGGAGAAUGGAUUCUUUCUUUCAUCUGAAUAGAGAGCUGCUGUUCGAGAUUCUAACUCAAAUAGCUCAAAGGACACCUUCUCCGGGAAACCUUCCCUGACUUCCGACGCUGUUUCCUGUUUUGCAGGAAAGAAUACACAAGCUCAGAAUCUCUUGGGCUGAGUGACAAAGGAGGAAAAGGGAUGGUUCCAAGUAGGAUUGGAGCUUCUGCUUCCUCACUUCCUCACGUAGCUCCAUCUGCCUCUUCAGAGAGCUCCCAUCUCCCACUGUGUGCAGCUGAGUUCCAAGCACUCCUGGCGGCAUAAUGACUGGGACAAAGAUAUUUCCUGCAGUUGUCAAUGGUGCUCCUAUACUGAAACUCUCCUAGGAACUUGGCCAAAUCUUCCUGCUCCCCAUCCCUGAUUUCUGUGAACAAGAGGGAAGACUUUGUCACACUUCUCAUUGGUGAUCAUAUUAAUUUCUAGGCCAUGUGUAUCUAGAUAUGAAAUAAUAUUUCUGUUAUUUUAAAAUAUAAGAUCCUUGGAAGAUGUCAUCUAUUGGAACAUGUAACUAUAUAGCCAGAAGAGGAGAUCACUAGAGCCAGACUGCUCUGUCUACAUACUUAAAAAGACAUUUGGAGGAAGAGAGCAUCUGCAAAUGUUGAUGAAAAUGGGUUUGGAACUUCUCUUUUGAUCAGGAAAUAGGUAGACCAUAAAAUGUCUGAUGCAUGUUGCUGCCUGAAGCAAACCCACAAUCUGGAACCCAGUCAUCUUGUUGCUCUAGAAAGCAUCAAGAGAAAAUGGAAGAAGGCUUAAAAGGCCCAUCACAUUUUAAUCUCUAUGGUUGGAUUAAUCAAAAGUUUUCAUAGUUUUACUAAAGAAAAAUGAGUGGUCAUUUAUACUUCAUCUCUAACAAGAAACUUUUUUGUCCAGUGCUCAAAAAUACAUAUGCUAUUAUGCUAUAGUUUCCUUAUGACUUGUUUUGUUUUCUAUAGUUGAUUGUGAGCCUCCAAAGGGCAUGGAGCUAUAUGGUAUGAUUCUUUGCUCCUCAGGCAUUUUCUUGCUCAGGAGACAUACCUAACAUGUUUUUACUUAAUGAUAAAGGUGGUAUGAAUGCAUCAUCAAUAACAGAAGCUUAGAGCUAGAAGUAAAUGUUUAAUCAUUUACUUUUGCUUGUUUUUCUUUUCCUUUUUUUUUUGCAUUGUCUACUUUAAGACCCACAUAUUACAAAUAAGAAGCAUUAAAAGUCGUUAGUGUCAAGAUCGGGGACAUGAAUUAGGUCUCUUGAUUCUAAAGAUGAUUACAGUAAUAACAGAAAAGGCUUUCUCAUCAAGCAGUGUAACUCAGUGGAACAAGCUUCAGAUUGAGCAGUGGCAAUGUGGUUUCGUGGACAGGCACUGGCUGGGAGCUUGGAUCUCAUUAUUGUGGGUUCAUCUCAGUCAUGUGUUGACCUGAGGUGCAGGUGGCUCUAUUGGGAGUCAGCCAGCUGUGGAUGGUAACCACACAUGACCAAAAUGAGUCUUCAGAAGCUAUCACUUGAACACAGCAACGACACUGGGCACUACUAAGAAGGAGGGAGGAAGUGGACCAAGGGCUGAAAAACUAACUAUUGGGUCCUAUGCUUAGUUCCUG